GCAAAAGCAGUUAAUCAAGAUAUUGCAAGUAUAAAGAUUUGGAAACAACCCAGUUGAAUUAAGUCGCUUGAAGAGUGAAAGGACAGUAUCAUAAUGUUUAUUCUUAGCAAGACAACCAAACAAAAUAUUGAAGGAAGAGACAGGAGGCGGAGAAGGGUGCAUACGGAGCAUGUAAUCAAAGAUACACAAGGCUUCAUUAGGAGUAAUAGUAGUAAUAUCACCUUCACCUGAUGAUUUGAACCUUUCUCUGAGGAAAUUUUCGAGUGAGGCUCGGUCUUUGACUGUCAGUAGUAGCGACUCCUUCAGUUUAGUUUUUGUAGUCGGAUAUGAGGGUUCAUUUUUCGAAAUUGAAGAUGUGGGUUUUCUCGUGUGAGGGAAUGACGAUAAGAAAUUACAUGUAAGAGCUGAUACUGAAAUUGAAGUAAAAUAAAAUGAACGAUGUGAGGAUACAACAGCCAUUGGAGAGUUUUUGAUUAUUUGGGGUUGAAGAAGAAGAAUGGAAUUACCAAAAUAGAAGAGUAACCUGCUCUUUUAUUUCCAUUCCGAUUUUGAACAGGUAGGUUACAAUUUACAUCAUACCAUUAUACAUCAUACCAUUAAUCGUAUUGUACUGUUAAUUUUACAAUCAAACAAAUCAAACAAAUAAAACUAAUAAAACUAAUUUAAUCAAACAAGUAGGGUACUUAAGAUAGACAAUCAAACAAAUUAUAAAUUUUGUAAUUCUUUUUAACGUAGAAUGCAAUUAGGAUAGAUGGUUGAUAAUUUGCUACAUUAUAAGAAAAAGUUUAUUGUUUUCGUAAAGGACUCACUUGCUAAAAAAUUAAUAAUUGGUAUCGAUUAAGAUAUCAUUUUAAAUUUUUGUAAUGUAGAAAGAAGAUCUAAUAUAGUAUUUUUCGUAUCACAGAUUCAUAUGACGUAUCCUAGAGGUUUUUUGUAAAUUCGUUCCCAAUAUUACUUAUUUGGAGUAAUGAUACAGCCACAAACUCUUGUACAAACUUAUUUUGUACAAACUGAUGUGACAUGAUAAGAUUGGUUGAAUUAAAUAUCACUUGGCCCACAUGAUUUGUUUUUAUUAAUUUAUAUUUUCAUUCGACCAAUGAAUUAAUGCCACGUCAGUUUGUACAAAAUAAAUUUGUACAAGAGUUUGUGGCUGUAUCAUUACUCUACUUAUUUAUUCUUAAAAUGAAUCUCCACUUACACCUUAUUUCCAACUUUUUGUAAUGCAUAAAAAAAGUUAAUGUUAUAUUCUCAAAUUACUAUUUGUCCAACAACUAUCUUUUAACUCAUAAACAUUUAGUUUUAUUUAUAUUAACAACAAAUUAAUAUAUAUGAGGUUCUACUUAAUUAAGAGAAACCUAAAUUGAUAAGACUGUUAAGAGCAAACUAGAAAUGAGGUGCUUUUGGAUAAAUAAAACAAGUGAAAAUUUUUCAUCAAACCAUUUGGCAUGUUAUUUGAAAGCUUGCCUCACUAGAAAAAUUUUAGGUGAAAUUUUUCUUUUUGAGAGUAGCAGAAAGCUUACUUUGAACGGUUGAAGAUUUAUGGAAGGAAAAGGUGCUUCAAGAUCCUAGAUGUAAAUUUGCUAUAAUAAUGUGGAGGGCAUAUCUCAUGCUCUGAUGAAAAAUUUGGUGAAAUUCCUAAUUGGCAGCAGAUUUUGAAAAGGAAAUUAAACAUAUAAGAUAUUAUUAGUUUACUACACACCUUGCCUUAGCAGCAGUGCAAUUUGAAUGGUGAGUCAAUAGCACCUAUAUGUGCUUUGGGUGAUACUAGGAAUGCAAGGAACAAAAUGUGUUAACAUAAAUAUGUUAAUAAUAUUGAUUUUGAUGAUAACAAAUUUUAAAUGUAUUUUGACAAAAAUAUUGGAGCUAUUUCUUAAUAAACGAAAACCAUUUUAAUCAUUGCCUUAUUUAUUCAUAAAAGAUGGAUUUUCAAAUUAGAAAGAAAUUCUCUACAAAAACUUGUUUAAAAUUACAAUUCUGGUCAUAAACGGUGAACCGUUUAUUUUAAACGGUUAACCGAUUAAAGGCAGAGAGUAACACAUUUCCUAAACCUCUAACCGUUUAUGAAAAACGGAAAACACAAAAGAUAGGGAGGUUACUGGAAAUUAACGGUAAACCGUUUUAUUUUAAACGGUUAACCGAUUAUCACCAGAGAGCAACAUAUUACCUAAGCUCUAACCGUUUAUGCUUAACGGAAAACACCCAAGAUGGGAAGGCUACUGGAACCUAACGGUGAACCGUUUAUUUUAAACGGUUAAUCGAUAACGUCCAGAAUUGAUGGUUGUCCUCCUCUGGCAUUGAUUAACGAAAACUGAUAAGGCUGAAUUGUUGUGCAGGUUACUGGGGCCAAACGGCAAACCGUUUAUUAUUAAACGGUCAACCGAUAAUACCCAGAGAAGCCACUUUAUGCAAUCCCCUAACCGCUAAAUGAAAACGGAUUAACUGAUGUUCAUUUUGCAGGUUACUGGAGACAAACGGCUAACCGUUUAUUUCAAACGGUUAACCGAUAAUAUCCAGAAACGUUACUUCAUGCAAGUCCUUAACCGUUUAGUGUAAAUGGAUAACAAAUGCUCAUCUUGCAGGUCUCUGGACGUUAACGGCGAAAGGGCAACCCUAAACGGCAAACCGUUUGUUUGAAAUCUGGCCCAACGGUAACUUUGACCAACCGAAACGGUUAACCGUUUAUGGUUAACGGCGAACUGUUUUCUGUCCGACAGUUUGUAACGGCUAGAUUUUCAGCUCCGGAUAUAAAUAAGCUCAUUCAAAUUCAAAGAAGGCUGAUCACAACACAACCAUUUGAGCUAAUAUUCGAGAAUACAAUCUUCAUAGAGCUUAGAACACAUUCUUGCUUCAUCUAUUCACAUAUUAAGCAUCAUUGAGUAAUCUUAUAUAUUGUGAGAGGCAAAACAAUUUGUAAUCUUUUACUUUGAGUGAUUGUAAGUGUUGGGAUACACUUGGGUUAAGAGAUUGGGGAUAAUCUCUUGUUGUAAAGGUCCAUUGACACCUUGGAAGUCAAGUGUAAGCAUUUGAAGCCUUGGAGGCUUGCUUAGUGGAAUCCUCAAGCCCGGAAAGCUUGGAGGCGUGGACGUAGGCAAGGUUGGCCGAACCACGUAAAAAUCUCGUGUUUGAAUCUCUCUUCCCUUAUCUUUUUAUAUUGUGAUCAUCUUAAUUGUUAUUGCUUUGAAUUUGAGUUAUAAUUGCAUUAAGAUUUUCUUUAAUAUUGAAUAAUUUUUUAGAAUCCCAAUUCACCCCCCCUCUUGGGUUGCUUACUUGUAUUUCAAUUGGUAUCAGAGCCUCGUUCUCUUGUUAAGACUUAAUCGUCUAGAGUAAAAGAUCCAUGGCAACCCUAAAUGACUCAACCUUUAGAUAAGGGCAAUCCACAACUAGACCACCAUUUUUUGAUGGUAAUGAUUAUGCUUAUUGGAAAACUAGAAUGAGAAUCUAUUUGCAAGCCUUAGAUUAUGAAAUUUGGGAAGUUGUUUGUGAUGGUCCAUUCAUGCCUACGUUCAAAGAUGAAGUAGGAGAUGAUAUUCCUAAACCAUCGAGUCAAUGUAGUGAGUUAGAAAAGAGAAAGAUGUCUCUAAACUCCAAGGCUAUGAAUGCUUUGUUUUGUGCCCUUGAUAAGAAAGAAUUCCAUAGAGUAUCUAGUUGUAAAAGUGCACAAGAGAUAUGGAACAAACUUGAAGUUGUCUAUGAAGGGACAAAUCAAGUGAAAGAGUCUAAAAUCAGUAGAUACACUCGCCAAUAUGAGUUGUUCCAAAUGGAACAAAAUGAAAAUGUGUAUUCUAUGUACACUAGAUUCACGGACAUAGUGAACACCCUAGGUGCCUUAGGGAAAACCUUCUCAAAUAGUGAGAAAGUUAAGAAAAUCAUUAGGUCACUUCCAAAAGAAUGGAGACCUAAAAGAACCGCUAUUGAAGAGGCCAAAGAUUUAAAUACUUUACCUCUUGAUGAUUUAAUUGGUUCUCUUAUUUCGUAUGAAGAGGAUUUAGCUGCAGAAAAAGGACAUGAGGAGAAGAAGAAAAGCAUUGCUCUCAAAGCUUCAAAAUAUGAGAGUGAUGAGGAGAGUGAACCGGAUGAUGAAGAACUAGCCAUGCUAGCAAGGAGGUUCAGAAAAUUCUUCAAGAAAACCGGAGAGCGAAGAAAUUUCAGAAACUUCAAGAACUAUAGGGAGAAGAAUGAGGCAAUCACUUGCUAUGAAUGCAAGAAGCCUGGACAUAUAAGAUCGGAGUGCCCACUUAUCAACAAACUCAAGAAGAAAGCAAUGGUUGCAACUUGGGAUGAUAGUGAGGAAGAAUCAAAUGAUGAAGAAGGAUCGCAAGAAGUAUCAAACCUAGCACUCAUGGCAAUAGGAGGGGAUGAUGAUCUCAAUGAGGUAAGUGAUCCUACCUAUGAUGAAUUAUAUGAUGCUUUUCAAGAUUUGCAUAAUGAGUUGAUUAAAAUUGGUAAAAAGAAUGUAUGUCUUAAAAAGGAAAUGGCAAAGCUUAAAAAUGAAAAUGAAUCUCUAAAUGCAAGAAUUAUAUGCCUAGAAGUAGGAAACAAAACAUUGCAUGAUGAAAUUGCAUUAUCAAAUGAGAAACCUAGCAUCUUACAUGAGCAUUUGAAAUCACACAUAGAUGAGUUGAAAAAUGAGAACGAAUUGCUCAAGAAAACGAAUAAUGAAUUAAAUGAAAUUGUUUUGAAAUUUACAAAUGGGCAAAAGAUGUUGGAUAAUAUGCUUAACUCACAAAAAUGUGUUUUUGAUAAAGGAGGACUUGGAUAUAAGCCAAACUUGAAGCAAAAGUAUUAUAAGAAUUAUUUUGUUAAAGCUACCUCCACAAAUGAUCAUAAGAUUGUAUGUCAUUAUUGUAAUCAAAAUGGUCACAUGAAAUUUAGAUGUCCUGUGAAAAGGAAUGCAUAUUAUGGUGUCAAGUGCAUUUGGGUUCCAAAAGGAACCGUUGCUAACUCUCAAGGACCCAAAAAGCUUUAGGUACCUAAAACUUGAGACUUUUUCUUGUAGGGCUUGAAGAAGAAGAAGAAUAAAUGGUUCUUGGACAGCGGUUGUUCAAGGCACAUGACCGGAAACUAUGCAUGGUUCUCAAGCUUUACCAAAAUUGAAAAUGGUGGAGACGUAUCCUUUGGAGACAACUCAAAAGGAAAAAUCCUUGGAAUUGGAAAUGUUGGUAAAGUUUCUUCAACUCUAAUUGAGAAUGUAUGUUUGGUUGAAAACUUGAAACACAACUUAAUUAGCAUUAGUCAAUUAUGUGACAAAGGUUAUAAAGUUAUCUUUGAUAAAUUUAGUUGUGUUAUUGAGAACUCAUGUGAUGGCAAAACCUUAUUUGUUGGAAAUAGAUGUGAUUUGUUGGAAAUAGAUGUGGUAAUGUUUAUAUCAUUGACAUAGAAUGUGCAUCUACUCUUGAUAAAUGUUUUUCGGCAUUGCAUGAUGAUUGUUGGUUGUGGCAUAGAAGGUUAGGACAUGCAAGUAUGGAUUUGAUUUCAAAAAUUUCGAAAGAUGAUUUAGUUAAAGGUCUUCCGAAAAUUGGUUUUCAAAAGAAUAAGAUUUGUGAAGCUUGUUAAUUUGGAAAACAAAUUAAAACUUCUUUCAAGAAUAAAAAUAAUAUUUCUACUUCAAAACCACUUGAACUUCUUCACAUAGAUCUUUUUGGGCCAUCUAGAUAUGCAAGUCUAAAUGGCAAAUAUUAUGCUUUUGUGAUAGUGGAUGAUUAUUCUAGAUAUACAUGGGUAUUAUUCUUAGCCAAUAAGGAUGAUGCUCUUAAUGCAUUUAAAGUGCUUUGUAAGAAAUUACAAAAUGAAAAAGGGCAUGGUAUUGUAUGCAUUAGGAGUGAUCAUGGAGGAGAAUUUGAAAAUCAUGCAUUUGAGAGUUUUUGCAAUAAUCUAGGCAUUGAGCAUCAAUUUUCUUCACCUAGAACUCCAUAACAAAAUGGAGUUGUUGAGAGAAAGAAUAGGUCUAUUCAAUAAAUGGCUAGGACCAUGUUAAAUGAAAAUGCAUUACCAAAAUAUUUUUGGGCCGAAGCCGUCAACACCGCUUGUUAUGUUUUAAAUCGGGUGUUGAUUAGACCUAAUCUUAAUAAAACUCCAUAUGAGCUUUGGAAAGAUAGAAAACCCAACAUUGGCUAUUUUAAAGUUUUUGGAUGCAAAUGUUUUGUAUUGAACACAAAAGACAAUCUUGGUAAAUUUGAUUCAAAAUCCGAUGUUGGUAUUUUUCUUGGUUAUUUAAAUUCAAGCAAAGCUUAUAGAGUCUAUAACAAAAGAACUUUAGUUGUGGAAGAAUCUAUGCAUGUCACAUUUGAUGAGUCUAACCCCUCCUCUACGGAGAAAGUCGUUGUUGAUGAUGAUGUAGGAGAAGAAGAACAAGAAGAAGAAGCAUCAAAUGACAAUCAAGAGGAUGCACCACAUGGAAUUCAAGAGGAACAUCAUGAAGAACUAAAUGCGGAGCAAAAUGAAGGUACUUCUCAAACACUCCCCAAGGAGUAGAGGUAUGUCUCUUCUCACCCUAAAGAUGUAAUUUUAGGAGAUCCCUUACGAGGUAUUACAACUAGAUCAUCACUUAGAAAUACUUGUGAGCAUAAUGCAUUCAUCUCUCAAAUUGAACCAAAAUCCUUUGAGGAUGCAGAAAAUGUUGAAUCUUGGAUUAUGGCAAUGCAAGAGGAGUUAAAUCAAUUUGAAAGAAACAAUGUGUGGGAAUUAGUUCCCAAACUUGAACAUCAAUCUGUAAUAGGUACUAAAUGGGUGUUUAGAAAUAAGAUGGAUGAAUCCGGCGUGGUUGUAAGAAACAAAGCUAGAUUAGUGGCUCAAGGUUACAACCAAGAAGAAAGAAUUGAUUUUGAUGAAACCUUUGCUCCUGUAGCAAGGUUAGAAUCCAUUAGAAUGUUGUUAGCAUAUGCAUGUCAUAAAGAUUUUAUUUUAUUUCAAAUGGAUGUGAAAAGUGCUUUCCUAAAUGGAUAUAUUAUGGAAGAAGUGUAUGUAAAACAACCCCCUGGUUUUGAAAAUGAAAAAUUUCCAAAUCAUGUUUAUAAGUUGCUUAAAGUCUUGUAUGGUUUAAAACAAGCACCUAGAGCAUGGUAUGAUAGACUUAAGAAUUUUCUGUUGGAAAAUGACUUCUCAAUGGGUAAAGCGGAUACUACUCUAUUUGUUAAGCAUAAAAACCAAGACAUACUUAUUGUUCAAAUUUAUGUUGAUGAUAUUAUUUUUUGUUCUACUAAUGAGUUGUUGUGUAAAGAAUUUUCAUCGUGUAUGAGCAAAGAAUUUGAGAUGAGUAUGAUGGGAGAGUUGAAAUACUUCCUUGGACUUCAAAUCAAACAAAACGAGGAAGGAAUUUUCAUAAAUCAAGCCAAGUACGUAAAAGAUCUACUCAAACGAUUCGGCAUUGAUGAUUCAAAGACCAAGAAUACACCAAUGAGCACAACAACCAAGCUGGACAAAGAUGAAAAAGGUAAAGAAGUGGACAUCAAAAUGUAUCGAGGUAUGAUCGGAUCCCUACUUUAUUUGACUGCAAGUAGACCCGAUAUCAUGUUUAGUGUAUGUUUGUGUGCAAGAUUUCAGUCUUGUCCCAAGGAAUCUCAUUUGCUAGCUGUUAAAAGAAUUUUCCGUUAUUUGAGUGGAACCAUAGAUAUUGGCCUUUGGUAUCCUAGGAGAACUCACAUAGAUUUAACAUGCUUUUCGGAUGCGGAUUUUGCUGGUUAUAAAGUGGAUAGGAAGAGCACUAGUGGAACUUGCUAUAUUCUAGGACACUCUCUUGUUUCAUGGUUUAGCAAGAAACAAAAUUCUGUCGCACUUUCAACUACCGAGGCUGAAUAUAUAGCUGCCGGAAGUUGUUGUGCACAAGCUCUUUGGAUGAAACAAACACUUAGAGAUUAUGGCAUUAAUCUUGAACAAAUUCCUAUUAAGUGUGAUAAUACUAGUGCUAUAAAUCUUUCAAAGAAUCCCAUUCAACACUCUCGAACAAAGCAUAUAGAAAUAAGACAUCAUUUCUUGAGAGAUCAUGUUCAAAAGGGAGAUAUUGCAUUAGAGUUUAUUUCCACAGAAAAGCAACUUGCCGAUAUUUUCACAAAACCGCUUUGCGAAGAACAAUUUUCAAAAAUUCGGCAUGAACUUGGGAUGAUGAAAUUUUUGCAUUAACAUCUCUAUUCAUGCUAUUGAGUGUACUAAAUUGAUUGAUUACUACUUAUAAAAUGCUUGAGCUUGGUAGACAAAUGAUGAAUUUGCAUUGAUAACUCUUGAGUAUAUGUAUUGAUUGGUUGAAAACAUGUUCAUGAAUCAUGCAUUAAAAUGGCUCAUAAAAUAUGUUCAGAUCGAUUAAAUGAUCUUGGAAUAUAUUAUUUGCUGGCCAAAAAUUAAAUCAAAUGUGCGAAAUUACAGAUAAAAUAAACGGUUAGCCGUUUCCUGUAAACGGAUCACCGUUUAAUUCCAGAAACGAGAUUGUGUGUCUGUCCAGUUACCCUUUCACCGUUUGCCACAAUCGGUGAAUCAUUUUUGAACAGAGAGUCCUCUAACAGUUACCCCUUAGCCGUUAAGCGAUUAGGCUUACACCGUUUCUGUUUCUUCAGCCCCUGGGAGUUACCCUUUAACCGUUUCAAUAAACGGUUAACCGUUUUCGCGAAGUAUAAAAACUGUUCAAAGGUUUUCUUCUCCUUCUCCAGUUACCCUCUCACCGUUUCCUCUAUUGUUGCGCAGCCGAAGGUCUCUUUGUCCUCAAAUCCUCAUUUUUCUUGCUUUCCGUGCCAAAUCAAACCCUCAAAAUCAUUUAUUAUCACCUUUAGAACAUUUCUACUGAUUCAAAACUUCAAAUCGAACCCAAAAUUCAAAAAUCCCAAAUCUAAACCCUAACUGUCGCGGGUCGAGUUUCUUUGUCCUUAAUCCGAUUUCCACCUUUCUUCAACCAAAUUAAACAUCCUACUCACAUCCUCUACUCUUCCUUAAACCUUUUAUCGAUUUACUUUCGUGUUUCCAUGGCUGAACCCUCUCGGAGAAAUCCUAGGCGUAAAUCUGUGCCUCCAAGGAAUCCCAUACCACCUCGGGAGGUCUCUGAAUUUUCAAGGAUUCACUUCCCCACUCCUGCCUUGGCUAAGCGGUUUGAGGAUCGCUUCGAUGGUCGAAAGGUACUUGAUCCUUUUUUUGUUGAUAUUGAUGAUUUCCGCAACUUGGUUGUUUGUGGUAGAAGUAUUAGGGAUAUGCUUCAGCCUUGGGAGGCUGCUAUUGACGUUGAUGAUCGGGUCUAUCCAAAUUUAGUGCGAGUCUUUUACUCCAACAUGGAAAUCUCCGAUACUCGCCCAAAUAGGAUAGUCACUCAAGUCGGCCGUGUACCCAUAGAAUUUGAUGAUGCGGACUUAGCUGACUUUCUAGGUAUCUCUUGUGAGGGGCUUGACAUUUACACCUCUAGGAAAACCCUCUCCUUUGAUACUUUUUAUCAUACUCAUGGCAUCCGUAAUAUAUGUCGUCGUAGAGACUUAUCGAAUGAGAUUUGUAUGCUUCCGUUUCGGUCUCAGCUUUUACCUCUCCAAGUUCGUAUUCUUCACUCUAUUUUACAGCACAUAAUGACUCCUAGGAAGGGUCACUCAGAUGAGGUUACGAGGUUGGACGUUGCCAUUUUGGAUAGCCUUCUUACAGACCGUCCCAUUAACCUCGGGUAUAUUAUUGUGCGACAUAUGUUGAGUACUCCAGCGGUCAACCACCGCUUGCUUCCUUAUGGCAUUAUCAUCACUAAAAUACUGCGACACUUUGAGGUGCCACUUCUUGAUACCGGUCAUAUGGAGACUCGACGGAUUGGUUCCGAGGCUGUGACCAGUAUCAGAUUCUCUAGGAAGAAUGGAGUGUGGAUAAAGACAAGCAACUCAAAAAACCGGGAUACCUUGAUUGCUGCAGAGGACGAUCGGAUGCUCAAUGAUAUCUAUACUCCCGAUCAGCUUCCUGACUUUAGAUUAGGAGCUCUUCCUCAUCCUCCGCGUCGUCAUUUUGUACCUCGGCCUCCUGUUGAUUCAGACCCUGAGGAGCCUGCGUUAGAUACUGACAUUCCCUCCUCUUCCGAGCUGCCUCCUGCUCCUAAGCCUUCUGUUGUUCCCGAGCAGCCAUCUGCCUCUAUGCCGCCUCCAGCUCCGGUUCAGCCCCCUGCUUCAGACGUAGUGCAGCAGCUGAUCACUGAUGUUCAGCGGAUUUCGGAGCGCCAGCAGCUGAUUCUUGAUCGGUUGGACACUCUUUCCCGUGACCACCAGCAGCUGCGUUCUGACUUUCAGAUAUUCCAGCGGCAGAGCCUUGAUCAGCAGAUGGAGCUUAUCGCUGGACAGCGCACUAUUCUCGGCUAUUUCGGCUAUGAUCCGGGGAGCACAUCUUCUCCGCCUCCGUAGUUUCUGAGCUUUGUCUUCGCACAUACAUUUUACAUUUUGGUUGCUAGCAUUUUUAUUAUUAUUUUGAUUUUGAUGCAUAUGUGUGUGAUGUUCUUGAUGAUUAGAUUAUUGAUGCUUUGUGAUUGCCUAAUUGGUUGGAUAUUGUAAAUGUGGUUUAUUUGUGGAUAUUGGAGUGUUGGUAUGUUUGUGGUUCUUGAAGUGUUCUUUUGAUGUGUUUAUGGAGUUGUUGGCUUGUUGAAAGAAGAAGUUGAUGUUCAUAUAUCUUUGGAAGUGUUCUAUCUCAUUUUGUAUAAUUGGUUUUGCUCAUUUUUAAGGGGAAACUCUGCCAAAAUUUUCGCUUGCCAAAACCGGGCACUUUCUUUAAAGGAUUUGCGUAUUUCUUCUUUCCUCUUUUCUUUUUGAUGAUGAAGGGGGAGAUAAUUUAUAGUUUUUAAGAUGAUUUUUUUAAAAAUGGGAAAUUUUUCUUUAUGGAUUUAAAAUGGGGAGAUUUAAAGCAAGAAUCCUUUUAUUCACAUUUCUCAAUUUGGCCAUACAUGUAGAGGGAGCACAUAUUCAGGGGGAGCUAAACAUUGAAUGAAAUUUUUCAUCAUAAAAAAGGGGGAGAUUGUUAACAUAAAUAUGUUAAUAAUAUUGAUUUUGAUGAUAACAAAUUUUAAAUGUAUUUUGACAAAAAUAUUGGAGCUAUUUCUUAAUAAACGAAAACCCUUUUAAUCAUUGCCUUAUUUCUUCAUAAAAGAUGGAUUUUCAAAUUAGAAAGAAAUUCUCUGCAAAAACUUGUUUAAAAUUGUAAUUCUGGUCAUAAACGGUGAAUCGUUUAUUUUAAACGGUUAACCGAUUAAAGGCAGAGAGUAACACAUUUCCUAAACCUCUAACCGUUUAUGAAAAACGGAAAACACAAAAGAUAGGGAGGUUACUGGAAAUUAACGGUAAACCGUUUUAUUUUAAACGGUUAACCGAUUAUCACCAGAGAGCAACAUAUUACCUAAGCUCUAACCGUUUAUGCUUAACGGAAAACACCCAAGAUGGGAAGGCUACUGGAACCUAACGGUGAACUGUUUAUUUUAAACGGUUAACCGAUAACGUCCAGAAUUGAUGGUUGUCCUCCUCUGGCAUUGAUUAACGAAAACUGAUAAGGCUGAAUUGUUGUGCAGGUUACUGGGGCCAAACGGCAAACCGUUUAUUAUUAAACGGUCAACCGAUAAUACCCAGAGAAGCCACUUUAUGCAAUCCCCUAACCGCUAAAUGAAAACGGAUUAACUGAUGUUCAUUUUGCAGGUUACUGGAGACAAACGGCUAACCGUUUAUUUCAAACGGUUAACCGAUAAUAUCCAGAAACGUUACUUCAUGCAAGUCCUUAACCGUUAAGUGUAAAUGGAUAACAAAUGCUCAUCUUGCAGGUCUCUGGACGUUAACGGCGAAAGGGCAACCCUAAACGGCAAACCGUUUAUUUGAAAUCUGGCCCAACGGUAACUUUGACCAACCGAAACGGUUAACCGUUUAUGGUUAACAGCGAACCGUUUUCUAUCCGACAGUUUGUAACGGCUAGAUUUUCAGCUCCGGAUAUAAAUAAGCUCAUUCAAAUUCAAAGAAGGCUGAUCACAACACAACCAUUUGAGCUAAUAUUCGAGAAUACAAUCUUCAUAGAGCUUAGAACACAUUCUUGCUUCAUCUAUUCACAUAUUAAGCAUCAUUGAGUAAUCUUAUAUAUUGUGAGAGGCAAAACAAUUUGUAAUCUUUUACUUUGAGUGAUUGUAAGUGUUGGGAUACACUUGGGUUAAGAGAUUGGGGAUAAUCUCUUGUUGUAAAGGUCCAUUGACACCUUGGAAGUCAAGUGUAAGCAUUUGAAGCCUUGGAGGCUUGCUUAGUGGAAUCCUCAAGCCCGGAAAGCUUGGAGGCGUGGACGUAGGCAAGGUUGGCCGAACCACGUAAAAAUCUCGUGUUUGAAUCUCUCUUCCCUUAUCUUUUUAUAUUGUGAUCAUCUUAAUUGUUAUUGCUUUGAAUUUGAGUUAUAAUUGCAUUAAGAUUUUCUUUAAUAUUGAAUAAUUUUUUAGAAUCCCAAUUCACCCCCCCUCUUGGGUUGGUUACUUGUAUUUCAAAAUGUUGAUUGGAAGGCAAUAAAGAAGAUCCCAUCAGAUUGAUAGCAAGAGCAGAGUAAUCACUUUGAGAGUCUUUUAGAGGAGUCAAGCAAUUAGAGGAAGCUUACGCUACAAGGAAGGAAACUGACAAACAGAAACAGUAGUGUCCUCCUUCUAAUCAUGGCUGGUUAAAAGCCAAUGUGGAUAUUGCUUCUGAUGUAGAAAAGGCAUUAGUAGGUUGGGAAGUUGUUGUUAGAGAUGACACUUAUGUUCAAAGUGAUAGUUAGUUCAAGUGGGAAGGGUUAUUAGUUUCUAAGCUUUUCACUAGAUGAAAAGUUUGAUCACAAUCUUAUCCAUCUUCUUGUAACUAAAGUCUUUGAGAGGCUUUGACAUAAUUGGACAAUCAACGUUGUUUCUGCAGUCUAGUGCACAACAAUAACAUGGAAUGGAAGCUUAAGCAUUGUUCUUGGUUGUGUUUCCUCUUAAAGAUCCUAGCUCUUUGCUGUAUUGAGAUCUAUGCUCCACUAUGGGCCCACCCACAUAUGCAUCUACAAAUUAAUGAUAAUAAUAACGCUUAUUUAACAAUAGUUAUAUUCACACAAAACUUAGUACAAAAAGAGUCUUUCUACUAAAUUUGCUAAUUUUUUUUAAGAAAUUGUAAAACGUUUAAUUAACGUAAGUAACUUAUACUUCUAAACUUCUCAUAUUAAUCCCUUAAAUACUUGAAUUUGAAUUCUAGUAAUUGAGAUUCCUUUAUGUAUUACUCUAUGUUUAUUUUUAAGAUAAUCCAAUACUUUUACUAACUUACAUUUACUAAAUUGAGAAUGGCAGAAUGUAAAUGCUGCUAGAAAUACUUUUAAUUACAAUUUCUUUUAUAUUAAUCAUUUUGAAUUGGUGCUUCCUAAUCAUAUAUUAUAUCCUACAUUAAAUGCUAUUUCUAUUAUUCUAUUAGUAGUGAUUCUUAAUUUAGUAUUACAAUCUAUAUGACUUUCUGUUACUGCUAAUCUUCCUAAAUUAUCGACUUGUUUUAUAUACUCACUAAAUUUUUAAUCGAACAAUUUUGUAAAGUAAUGCAAGUGUAAUUAUCUAAAGGCAUGCAAGGUAAUUUUGAUUUAAAAAAAUCUUAUAAACAACUAUUCUUUACUACAUACUCCCCAAUUCUCUUAUAAACUUCUGUCAAAUUGAUUGGAUAACAAAUUAAUUUCUCCCAAAUACUAACUGAAAUCAGUACCCUUUUUGAAAAUUUCUAAAAUUUGUUUCUCAAAAUUUGGAGUAUAAAAUCAAACUUUUCAAUUAAAACCAAAUUUUUUUUUUUUUUUUCAAAGAACUUCUUCCUCUUAAGGACAUGGAAAUCCCAACACAGAGCCUCUCUUCUUCCCUAGAACGUCUAUCCUUCGGCUAGAAUGAUAAGUUAGGAGUAAAACUGGGUACUUAGAGGUCCUUAUUCAAGGCUUUAGUUUUUUUUGUAGAAACUUAAGUUUUUCUUUAGAGUUUGAUUUAAUUUUUCACAGAUAGAAAACAUUCAUCAUGAGCAAAUAAGAAGAAACUUCAUUCGUAAUGAAAGAUUUGCAAUAUAAAACUUGUUCGCUUAUAAACACAUAGAAACUUACAAAAUAUUAGGUUCCUCUGUUAAAGAAGAACUAAGUAACUUAGCUACAAUACAUGUUGAAUAAAUUACUUACUUGAAUUAUCUUCUACAAAUACAAAAAGGAUAUUGAGCUGAUUUUUCAUUGCUUCUUUGAUCGAUAAUCAGCAAAAGAGGUGACUUUUUUAUUUAUUUAUAGAGUUCUUCCUAGCUACUUAUCCUCAUCUUCUACUGCUUCCUUAUCUUCUACUUACUACCUGUGUGGACUAAAAUGCUUCACAUAACUAAAGGGAGUGUCGUCAGAAUUAUCACUAUAGGUUUUCCCUUUUUAAAGUUAUGCUUCAAAACAAGUAUUAAGUAAAGGUUGCCAAUUGGAGAGUGGACUGUUGAGUCAUGCUUUUAGCAUGUUAUUAAGGUUGUGGGCCUCGACAGCAUUUAAAUUAUUCUAGCAAUCUCUGCCAUCAUCUUUUUUUUUCGCUUGAUUGGUCUUUCAAAAGAGCUCUGUAAGCCUUGAUAUUAUUCUUAUACUAUUAAUGGUAGAAAUCUACAAGCUGAUCAUUUGUGGUCCUGGACAAAAAAAAGGAACUUUAGCAUAUUCUGAAGAGAAUUUAUUUUUUUGAUUAAAGUCUUCAAUAAUUAAUUUUGGACUGAUCGAUGAGUUAUCUAAUGUUUCAUCAUCUAAUGUCAAUUUUUCUUUCUAUUAUUCUACUUCUCCAAUGUCUAAUCUACUUAAUUUAAGAAUUAUUAUUGAAAUCCAAGGAAUGCUAGAGCCUUGCAAGUUGUCAAAUUCUCUUAUGGUCUUAAAUCCCUUAAGAAAAAUGGAAUGUUAUGCUUGAAAUUCAUAGCAUGCUUCUUCCUUGAAUGGCCAUUCUGGUGUUUUGACUGGAUAUAUGCUAGCAUGAGCUGUUUUCCCAUUGCUAUUAGAUUAAGCAUAGUUGGUGUUAACCUUCUCCCAAAUGCAUCUGUCUAGUAUGGGUCUCGAGCAAUAACUUGAUUAAAAAAAUCAAAAUCGAAUAAUAACUUUAGAGUUAAUAUUAGUAGUUUAUCUCUGAAUUUUAGUUCCAUCGGUGAAUAUAAUCCUAGAUCAAUGUUGGCUCUUACAAUACUGUAGGUGAGAUGACACUUAUAGUCUGCAUAUUCUAGUAGAAUUUCUUGGCAGAAUAGGUCAGUUCUUGGGCAAACUUUUUAAAUAUUGCCACAAUAGGUCUCCUAUAAGAUAAGAAAAUCUAGGUGUUUUGUGGGCAAACCAUGGGGUUUCGUAGCUAUGCUUGACAUAAUCUUGGAGGAAACUCUAAAUGAACUCUAUUUUUUUUCAUUUUGCACUUUGGCUAGAUGUUUUUUAAUGAUUAGUCAGCCAUAAUGGGAUAGUUUGAAGGUUCAGUAUGUGCAAAGGAAAAAGGUUCUACUCUCUCUCAUUUCUAGCUCGCUUUAGUUAAGUGUUUUGCACUCAUUGCCUGCUUUAUCCAGUGGGGUUAAAGGUUUUGCCUUUACCUGCCAAUGGGGCUAAUAAAUUCUUGAACUUAUCUUUUAAAGAAUCUCUUUUUUUCAUACAAAUCUUUCGUAGUGAUCACAAAAAGAUAAAGUGUUAAUAGAAGAUAAAACGACUCCAUUGCCUUGUAUAUUUUGAACAUAUGGUGAUGGGUGCUCAUAUAAAGAUGGUACACUGCUAGCUAUGUCUUUUGCUAAUGGGCUUAUGAAAAAGCUCAGGGCAAUUUGUUGUUUUACAGCAUCAAGGGCUCAUUUAAAAUCAUAAAAUCCUUGACAAUGAGGCUUUUAAAAAUUUGUGAUUAGUUGAAGAACUUCAAGCCAAGUAUGGUAGAUACCUGGUGUAAAUCCUUUAAAAACCAUGUAAAAACUAAAAUUUUUACUUAAAGGCUUACUUUGGAUUUUUGUAAAAUAAAAUGUCAAUGUAUUUAAAGCUGUUAAGAUCUUUCUAUUAUCAUCCUUUGCAUUCCAAAUGUUGUCUAGAAGGUAUUGUUGUGAUUCAUCUAUCUGACUACCAAAUAAAGGCUUGAAAGAUAAAUUAGUUCCCUUCGGGAAUGUUGGCAUACUAAUUUGUCUGAAGUUUAUUCUCUUAUCGUCCAUCUGCAAAAUCACAAAGUAUGUUAGAAUAAAUAUCUCUUUUUUAGUAAUCAGUUAAUCUAUUAUCUACUCCUUUGAUUUGUUCAAAUUCUAAUUUAUAUCUAUUACUUGUUAGAGUAUUAACAAAAUUUAACCAUCUUGUACUACUUAACUUUUUCUCAUUAGUUUUAUUAUAAAAUCCAACAAUUGCUUCAUAAUCCUUCCUUAUUGUGAAAGGCGGAUUGAGAAAUAAUCUAAAAUUAUUUAAAGCAUUUAUAACUCCUAAAAUUUCAUAAUCUAAGCUGGUUAAACUAUUUUUAGAUUUUUUUAGAGAUCUGAUAAGUAUCUACAAAUUUUCUUAGUACUCAUACUAUCAUAUUUACUUGGUUUGGAGAGUUAUAUUGCUCCCCAUCCGUGUUCACUAGCAUAUGUUUCUACAACUUUAUACUCAUUUUCUAAUGGUAAAGCUAAUUAUGAUAAUUCUUUACAAACUCUAACUAAUUAUAUAUUCGAAGAAUUAAAGAAUUUUUUACCUCCUGGUUUGGUUUUACUGUACAAAGGUCCUAGUUACCUUAUUAAGGUCUUUAAUGUACAUCCUAGUAUAAUUUAAUAUUCCUAAAAAGGCUUAUAAUUUUUUGUAUCUUCUAUUUUAUCUAGAAAAUCUAAUAUUUUCUUCAGCAUGUGUUCUCAUAAUUUUAUCUUUUUUUUCCUAUUUUCAUUCCUAAAAAUUUUAUGUAGUAUUUACAAAGUUCUAUUUUCUUUUUACUAAUUAUAAAUCCGUUAUUGACAAACUCAUUAAAAACCAUAAGUAAAUGAUUACCAUAAUCUUCUAAAUUCUUGCGAAACACUAAUAUGUCAUCUAUUUACUAUAUUUUUUAAAUAUUAGAUCCAUCUUAUGUUGAAAAAUAAAAGGGGCAUUUUUUAAUCCAAAUGGCAUGAGUAUCCAUUCAAAAUAUCCUUCAAGGCAGCUGAAAGCAGUCCAUAUAAUAGAAUCAUCAUCUAUUUUAAUUUGCCAAAAUUUUGAUUUAUAGUUAAAUUUACUAAAUAUAUUUGCAUUUUGGAUGCAAUUAAUUAACUAAUCUUUACAGAGAUUUUGUAUUGAUCUUCAUAUGUAUUAUCAUUCAAACAAUUAUAGUUUAUAACUAUUUGUGCUUUUCAUCUUUCAAUUUCAGUAUGAUUUCUAACCAUGAAUGUUGAACUUCUAUGCCUACUAUUACUAUGUCUAAUUACUCCUAACUUUAAUAAUUCUACUAUUUGAAUGCUAAAUUCUUCUAUGUCUUGUAGACUAUAGUCUCCUUUAGCUGUUUUAAUAGUAAAAUCUACAUUUUUUAUGUUUAAAUGAGCUUUAAAUUUGCUUUUAUCUCGAUAUUUGAUUGGGUCUUUUUCUAAAACUUGUGUAGUUUUUGCUAAUCUAAUUAAAUUUAGGCCUUUUAGUUUUUACAUCUAUAUAUUUUUUAAUGCAAAAUAAGAUCACAAAAAUUUUCUAGAUCUAAAUAGAGAUGGCCACCGAGCCGUGCUGUGCCGGCCAAGGCCCAUUAAAGGAAGCACACUCGUGCCAUGUUGUGCCCACUAUGCGUUUCGUGUUGUGUCGUGCCGUACCUAACUUUUUUUGCUUAGACCUCGCCCGGCACAUGUGCUGUGCCCACUCGUGCCGUGCCGUGCAUAGGAAAAAAACCCACUAAGUUUUUUUUUCUUUUUUAGUUUUUAAGAGCGCAUGCCAAGUUGUUGUCUUAUUUUUUUCAAGCCUAUAUACUUUUUUGAAUUUAUGUGCCUUUAUUCAAAUUUAAUAGAAUAAAAAAUUCAAAACUCAAGUCCAUAUUCAAUAAUAAUAAAUUAAUAAUAAUAAGAGAAUGUAAUAGUAGUUACUAAGUUUGACUCUAUGGUAUUAGAAUUCUUUUUUAGUACUUAACAACAACAAUAAUAAUAAUAAUUUUUUAAGGGUUAACUCAAUUGUUAACUUGGAAUUACAUAAAGUCAUAUAUAAUAGUUUAUAAUAAUAUUAAUACAUAUUUAUAAAAUCAUGAUAUUUGUAAUUUUAUUUAUUAAAAUCAUGAUAUCAAUUAUUUAUUUAAUAAAUUAUAAACAUAAAUCAAUUAUAAUUUUUUUGAAACUAAGAAUUAAAUAAAUUUAAAAAACUUGAGCUAAUAAAAUAUAUUAAAAGAUUCAAUUUCAAGUUAUUUAUAAAAUCAUAAAAUUUUAAGUUUACUUUCAUUAAAAAAUAAAACAUGCUUAUUAUGUACUUUUUUGCGUGUCGUACUUUGGCCAAUCUCUAAUCAUGUCGUGCUUUUAAGGCCCACGUGCCUAAAAUUCUAAGCUCGGCUCAGCCCACGUGCUUGCCGUGUCGUGCUGCAUGCCCUACCGAAACGUGCUUGUGCCGUGCCUCGUGCCGUCUACCCCAUUGGCCACCUCUGGAUCUAAAUCACAAAAAUCUACUUCUCUAUUAAUGUAUAGUUCUUUAGGAAACUAUCUAUAACUUCUUUAUUACUUUGUAUUAUUGGAUCAUGCCGAAAAUCAAAAUGACUACUUGUUACUAUUUCUAAAUCAUGUGAAAAAUCAAAAUAAAAAUAACUUUUAUUGGUCCCAUCACGCUAUGCACACAACUUUGAUUGAACAUGCUGAUAUUGGGAAAAAUGAGAAAAACAAAAAUCAGUUGGGGUAACAACUAUUCUUUUAAAGAAUAAAACAUAAUUAGUAUUGAUUAACAUUUUGGCUUCACAAGUACGUAUAAAAUUUAAUCCUAAGAUUUGAUUGAUUCGAUAGCCUAUGCUUGAGGUAAAGGAUAAUAUUUAUCGAAAGCAUUUUCUACUGUGUAGAAACUUGUUUGUAAAUCUCUGAUACAUUUAUCAUACUUUAAUCCAGUUCCAUCUAUUUGCUCUGCAAAUCUUGGUUGAGGCAAUAUUUGCAAACAAUCUGUUGCGACUAAAUUAAUAUCUAUAUAAGACUUGCUAUUCCCUAGAUCUAUCAUGACUAAUAAUUCUAUGGUAUUAUCAUUUCUAAAUUUAAUCUUACUAAUAUACCAAGUAAGGUGAUUUGAGGUACUAAUAGGUUGUUGAUCAUCAAAUGUCUUAAAAUGUUGAUAUAGAAAUUCGUCCAAAUAUUCAUUCUUGGCCUCAAUAAUUUGUUUAUCCUUCUGUCUAUUUUGGUUUUGUCCUAACUUAAUAAUAUGUUGUGUAAUUUCAAAUUCUUGUUUUUCUAGCUGGAAUUUUAACCUUUCUAUUUCUAAUUUUAUUUUUUUCUAUUUCUAAGUUUUGAGAUUCUACGAUUUGCUUAGACUCUUUUAUUUCAACUAGCUGGUUUUUAUAAGUCUUAAUUAAAAUUUUUUACAAACUUCUAUCUUAUAAUACUUACACUUAUAUCUAAGUUCUAUGCUAGGAAAAAGUUCACAUGUAUUACAUAUAAUAUUAUUGGAUCCUCGUCUAUGUACAAAUUCAUGCUGACAUUCUGCUUUUUCAUUUAAUUGUUCUAGGUCUAAUCAUUCUUCAUCAUCUAAAUCGGUAGAUUCUUAAGUAUCAGAUUCUAUUUAAAUCUUCUAAAUAUUCUAAUUUUAAAGUUUCAUAAUUGUUAAUUGUAUUGUAGGCUUCACUAUCAUCACUACUUAUACUGUAAAAGAUCGACACAUUCUUUAAAACAAUCAUUUUUUUUUUGUUAGGAUAAGCAUUUGCAAAAUGUUUUGGAUCUCUACAAAUGAAACAAGUACAUAUCUAUUGCCCCUUUUCCCUUUCUAAUAUGUUUGGCUUUUCCUAAGGAUUUUUCUUUUAUUACUGUAUUUAUAGGUUUUAAAAUAUUUUUUAUACUUUUUCUUUCUGUAUUUCUGGUCUUUAUACUAUAUAAAGUAUAAAUAACUUUUCUACAAAAAUCAGAAGGCUGAUUUUUUAGCAUUUUCUGAAUUUUAGCUUAUACACAUUUUUCUCUAACUAUAUUAUAGGGUAAAUAUUAUUCUUAGUUCUAUUCCUAAACAUUUCUUCAACUUCUUAUUCUUCCACUCAUUUUCUAUUACUCUUCCUAAAAUUUCUUAUAAUGUUCUAAAAUAUUUGUCACCUAUUUCUUCAUCAAAUGAUUUACUAGUUUUGAUGGUAAUUAAUGCAAAAUCAUUGUUAAAUUCUCUAAGAUAUUUCCAACUUUAAAAUUGUAGUUGGUCAAGGUCUGCUAAGGCUACAUUUUGUAAAAAGGUAUUGCCUCUAGUUGGAUCUAAUUCUAUACAUAUUUCCCUAAUAAGACUUGUAAAAUUAUAUGGAUUAUUCCCUAAUUCUUUGCUUUCUGAAACCUUUUCAGCAAAAUCUCUUUUAAAAGUAUUGUAUCAAUUUCUUACUAUUUCUCCUAAUAAUGUUUCUAAAAAUUCCCCCAUAUCAUCACUAUGAGUUCGGUUUUGCCAAGCUUUGAUUGCAUUUGCUUCACAUCUAUUUAUGACUUCUGGCCAUAGUUAUGGAUCCCAAGCUGCUAAAUUUAGUAUGCUACUAGAUUUACUUGUUGUUGGCAAUGUCCUAAUCUCAUCUACAUGUUAUCUUUUAUCAUAAGUUUUAUAAUCUUAAUCCUUUUCACUAUAAUUGUUGUGCAAAUUUUAAUGUACUCGCAAGCGCACAAAUCUAUUGUAGUAUAGAUCAAUGGUGACGAGUGUCGAUCCCACGAGGAGGUGGAUUUUAAUUGUGUGUAGAAUUAAUUUUUUAAAUGGGUGAUUAGAUUUGUGGUGGAAAUGAUUUGGAAUAUGCUAAAACUUAAAUUAAAAUGGCGAGAAUAAAUUCUAAAAUUGGAAUUGAAAUGACGAGAAUAAAUUCUAAAAUUGGAAUUGAAAUGGCGAGAAUAAAUUGAAGAGAAUUCUAUUGAAAUGACGUACUUGGGUAUCUGGAUCUGUAUCAACAUGCAUCAUGGGCUAAAUAAUCCUUAUUAAUGCCAAUUAAAUCAUGAGGGGGGAAUCCACACCUCAUGAACCACGCUCUAAUCAAUAUGGUGCUAAGGGCUUAUCGUGCCAAAUAAUAAUAACCUUGUACUAGAGAGCCGGUGUAACCAAGGCGGUAUCUAGACAAGAUUAUUAUUAUUUGUCGACGAAAAGUCAAAUCAUCCACAAAAAUUAGAGGGGAAAAGAAAAUAAAUUUACCAAAUAAAGCCCAUGACACAUGUUGAGACUUCACCUUCAACCCAAGUUUGAAAGAAAAUUAGCUACUCAUAAUUGAACUAGGGGUAAAAUAGGAAUUUAUUAAAAUACGUAGAAAAUACAAGAUGGAGAAGGAAUUACAGAAAAUGGAUCCCAAAAAUGGAUUCAGAGAUAUCAAAUUAGGGGGGGGGGGGCUCCUUUUUAUAGAUACAUGGAGUAAAUCAUGGCCAUCGGAUUAAAAACAGUUUGGACGCUCAGGAUUGUGCCACGUCAUCAGUCAAUAGUACGCGGUUUGACCACGUAGAUGAACAGUAACACGGUUUGACCCGGGUUGAACAGUAACGCGGUUUGGUUGAAAAUAAUCCUGUAUGAUGCAUGUGCCGUACGCGAGAUUUUUUGUCCACUGAUAUGCUGCCACGUCACCAUCAACAGUACAUAAGAAUUUUAGUCCAACAGGAUCGUGACACCUCAUCAGUCAAUGCCACAUCAUCGGUCAAUGCCACGUCAUUGUCCGUUUAUGUGAACAGUGUCGUGAACAGUACGUAUACAAUACCGUACACGUGAAUAGUACCAUACAUGUAAACAAUGCCAUUUUUCCUUUUAUGCUCCUCCUAAGGUUUUCGACAAUCCUGAGUUCAAAAGUGAUGUCCGUUUUGCCAUCUGAUCUCUCGUUUAUUGUGAAAUGACUAUGAUGCCCCUAAAAUACAUAAAAUACUUAAUUAAAAUAAAACACACGGAAUUAAAUCAAAAGAAGGUUAAAUACCUAAAAGUAAGGGUGUUAGAAAGGUUGUAGUGUAAAAUGACGAUUUUCUCCUUUAUAAAUAUACAUUUUCUAACACUCAACACACCCCCCAACCAGCUUAUUGCUAGUCCCUAGCAAAUAAAGCGAAAACAAAAUUCAAAUCCAAAAUGAUUUUUUUUUUGUGUGGAAACACUCGUGUUUAUUAAAUCAGAUUAAUGAUAGCAAUCAAAUAAAAGUAUAAGCAUUAUCUCCAGUCUAAAGCAACAUCACACCCACAUCAAUCAUCCAUAUGAAUCAGCCCAGUAGACUUUGUUAGAGCUACUUUCAAGAAUGACAUGUCAAACCCCAAAGUCUCACUGGAAGUAGUGACAUUCUCACAAAGAAAUUAAACCCAAUAAAAAUAGUCACUCCAAUGAAUGGUAAUUGAGAGAAAAUAAUCAAGAAGUGAUAUCACAUGCUCUCACUAAGAUGAAAGAAAUAUGCUCUCAACUUAGAAAUAAUACGAUCUCAAGUCAAAUAAAAAAUGCUAGUCAACCCAAUUUAUUUAUUCAUUUAUUUAUUUAUUUUUUUAUGCAUCACUACAUCUUUUUAGCCCAUAUAACUAGCUUCUACUUCAGAUUAUAGUUCCCUAAAAUCAAGAAGGACUUUUAUUAGGACGUAACGUAGGCUAGGGACAUGGCUAACAAAGAAAGGAAAUAAGGAAAAUAAAGUGUAUGUUUGAGAAAAAUAUAGAGGAUUUGUUUUUUUUGGAAGUUGCAAGAUGUAUUUCUCCUAUUAUUGUUAUUUUUUUUUUUCUUUUUCGAAACAACAAUUUUUUUUUUUUUGCUUUUGUUGGGCAUAACUUCAUUAUACAAAAUAUUUAUUUACAUUUUUCUCAAACAUAAAUAGGUGAUGGAACUUAUAAGACAUCGGGUAAUACUCCAAAUUGGAGUGGGUUAAGAUGAUAAGUUUAACAAAUAAAAGGUUUUUUUUUUAAGGCUCAAAAUGGUUAACUGUGCAUAUUUCACAAAAGGGAUGGCUAGAAAGGCUCAAACAGAUCAAAAAUUGGCCUUUCCAUCGUCUUUUAGGGCUCUAAAUAAUCUUCCAUAUCUGCUAGUUAGAUGGGCCUCCAAAUGUAGCAACACACAUUUUAUUUAUUUAUUUAUUUAUUUAUUUAUUUUAAGGGUUAACUCAAAAGAAAUCUAGAGAUCGUGUAUACAAUAAUAAACUGCUAAGCUGUAUAAAGAAUUAGUAAAAGAGUUACUCUCCAAGAAAAAUGAUAGGCUCAAAAACUCACAUGGCACUUAUUUAUGACAUGUUCAUUCCUUCAAGCUACUCAUAUUUGUCUCCGGCAUCAACAUGUAAAGUAGCAAACAUAGCGUAACAUCACUUAAGACAAAAAAUAAUACAAAUACUAAAAUUUGAAAUUAAUCAUGUCAUCCAAUGUUAAAACAAAUCACACAAUUUUUUUUUUAAACAACAUUCUACCCCCCAACCUAUUCUAAACAUGAAAGGAAAAUAUGCAUGUAGAAAUGUGAAAAUGAUGCAAAAAAAUCUAAUUAGAAAAGUUAGACUUAAAAUGAUAGAAAAAGAAAUGUUUUGUUUUGUUUUUUAUUUUUUUAACUAAGAAGAUGUGUUUCUAAAGGCACUACACUCCAUAUUCAGCCAUCUUCGACUCAAAAAAAUUUGAAAGUGUAUAUUUAUAAAGGAGAAAUUAAAAAGAAGAAGAAAAAUAAACAUCAAAACAUAAUAAAGAAAAAUGAAAAUGUCUGAAUUUGUUUUUUUCAAACGAUGAAGAUGCAUUUCUAGAGUCACUACACUCCAUAUUCGGCCAUUUUCAACACAAAAGGUUAGCAACAGUUAGUUUCUACAACAAAAAAUUAGUAAAAACUUAACCAAGAUUCCACAAUUUUCGACUAUUCCCUCCCCCCAACCAGAACGAAACAUUGUCCUCAAUGUUGUAAAGGAAAGAAGUAGAGUUUAGAAGACAUCACCUGGGUGGUGCAACACAGAAGAAAAUAUUUACAGGCGGAGAGUUAAAUCUAAUUUGUACUUCUUACUGCGGCUACUGUUACCAUCAUUAUUUGGGCGCUCCAACACAAAGGUCCAGGGGUCUGGCUCCGGUUUAUAAGCUUGUAACAGAUCAAGUAGCUCAUUAGCAGUGUGAGCACAAAUAAAAAGUUUUUUCACAUUAGAAGGAAUGAAAUAGUUUUUUAUUACAUGGUUAAGAAAUGCGAUAAAGCCAUCAUAAAAGUUAUUGACAUUUAACAAACCGAUGAGUUUAUGGUGAAUGUGCAGAUGGGCCCAAGAUGCUAGUGUGAUAAGUGCCUCUAGUGUUGCAAGAUCUCCUGGAAGGAAAAUAAAAGCAUCAGCAUGAUUAAGCAUUUCAGUUAUUCUUUCUUGCAUACCUGAGACGACUAACUCUUCUCCAGUUGAUGAGUCAGACGAACUGCCCAAUGGUUUUAGGACUCUUGGGAUGAUGCCUAACACUUGACUUCCUCUGAUAAAAGCUGCUUCUGAGACCAUUUUUGAUAACCCACGGUUACCUCCUCCAUACACCAAGUGUAAUUUUCUUGUUGCUAUGCUUCGACCAAGAUUUAUGGCUGCCUCAACGAACUCUUUAUGUUUGCCAUAGGUAAAUCCAGAAAGCACACAAAUGUUCUUGAAUUGUCUAUUGGGAGUAGCUGCCAUUGAGAUACUUUUCAAAAACAAUUUGUGAGUGUUUGAAAAAAGAAAUCACAUUUAAGAGUCUUGGUGACAGUGGGUCACAGCUGUGUAUGAGGUAGCAUGUCAGUGUCAAAUAACGCGUAAAGCACAUGGCUCGCGAGUCAAAAAGGAAACAGUAAAAAGGAAAAAGCAAACAGUAAUAAAAUUAUUAAAGACAAUAAUGCAAACAAUAAAACAACAGUGAAAUGAAAUAAAAUAACAGUAAAGUAAAAGGAUAUUUACACGUAGUUGCGACUGUGGCUCACAUCUUCCUCUGGUUUUACAUCCAGAAACAGCUUGAACACCCUCUAUGGGUCGAGGAUGGGCUUCCCAUCCAGUUUUCUUAUAAACUGGCAAACAUGGUCGUUUAUAGUCAGAUUCCCGAGACUAUAUCGUGCAUGCUCUUUCUGGAAUAAUGGCCAUAAUUGGAUAAUCGCUCCUUGCACAUAUCCACUGGGAUGCGUUUCAAGAGACAAAAGGAUAUCAUCCAAUGACUCCUUAUUCAAGCCAUCCCUAAUGAAUUGAAUCUUAUCUUCCCUGUUAUCAGACACCAUUCCUAAAGAACAUGAGUUUUUAUCGCAACUCAUUCUGGCACACUUAUGACAAGCAACCAAAAUUCUUCAAGCUCGUCGUUUUCUUGCAUAAUUUCCUUUACCACAAUCAGGCAUGUAUGCAAUAAAUUUUGGAGGUAACUCACCUGCCGAUCGUACUUUAGCCUCGAUUAACCAACAGAUGUCAGCAGGUAUGUUAUUCCUCAUGAGCAAUCGCAUGCGUUCGAACCGAGCUUUAUAGAUGGUAAGGAGGGCAUUCUGAGGAAGUGAAGGGAAUCGCUUGUGAAGCUUCGCUAGAAUCUCGUUUCUGUCCAUACUUUCGCCUCAGAAUGUCAGUUAUUAUGGGAAACUGAAGUAACUGACUUGAUUGUCACGGAGUACCGUUAUCCGCCACUUCACCGGGGUAACAAACUAAAGCACACAAACAAAAAAACAAAUUAAAACACACAAAGAAAAUUAAAAUUGCCCUCUUAUUGAAUUUACCUCAAGCUCCAACUGGAUGUCGUAAACACUUCUCUCAAUAUCUCGGAGUUGGCUUUCUAGAUUCUCAACAUAGGCUAAUAACUCUGGUGGUUGUAGAGCCCAAAUGCGUUGUGUUUUACAAAAUUGAAUCUGCCUUUUGAGAUGAGUUUUGACACUUUGAAGUGGUUUAAGAAUGUUAAGGAGGAACGGUCUAAGUAUGGUACUCAUUAUUAACAAUGAUAAGAAAAAAAAUUAAUGGUAAAACAAACACACUUAUGCAAAAAUAAUUUCAAUUAGCAAAAGAAUAAUAAAAAUAAAGAAAGAAAAAUCAAAUCAACGAAAAGAAAAGAAAAAAAUCAAAUCAAAUCUGGUGGGUCACUCAAAUUUAUUUCAGUGUCUUCUCCAUGUGGUUGGUACUCUAGAUAUGACUUUAAUCUUUGACCAUUAACUUUAAACGUGACACCGUUCUUUGGGUCCUUAAUUUCAAUUGCCCCAUGUGGAAAAACAGUAUGAACAAUAAAGGGACUAGACCAUUGAGAGCGUAACUUACUUGUGAAUAGGUGCAUGCGAGAAUUGAAUAAAAGCACUUUCUGACCUGGAGUGAACGGUUUUCUCAUAAUUUGCUUGUCAUGGAAGACUUUCAUUCGUUGCUUGUAAAUCUUGGCAUUUUCGUAUACAUCAUUGCGAAUUUCUUCAAGUUCUGCUAGUUGUAAUCUUCUUUCUGAGCUGGCUUGCUGCAUGUCAAAGUUGAAUUUCUUGAUGGCCCAAUACGCACGAUGCUCGAGUUCCACAGGUAGGUGGCAAGCUUUUCCAUACACUAGCCUGUAGGGUGACAUCCCAAUCGGGGUCUUGAAAGCCGUUCUAUAUGCCCAUAAUGCAUCAUCAAGUCUUAAUGACUAAUCUUUUCUGUCUGGCCUCACCGUCUUUUCUAAUAUGUGCUUUAUUUCUCGAUUGGAGAUCUCAACUUGGCCACUGGUUUGCGGAUGAUAUGGGGUCGCCACUUUGUGUGUGAUUGAAUACUUUGUCAAAAGUGCCUUGAAUGCUUUGUUACAAAAGUGGGCACCACCAUCACUGAUUAUUGCUCGAGGGAAUCCAAAGCGUGAAACAAUGUUGCUUUUCAAAAAUCCUAUCACCACCUUGUGAUCAUUGGUUCUACAUGGAAUUGCUUCUACCCAUUUUGAGACGUAGUCAACAGCAACCAAUAUGUAUUGAUGGCCAAAAGAAGGGGGAAAUGGUCCCAUGAAGUCGAUACCUUAUACGUCAAAAAUUUCAACCACUAAAAUUGGAUUUAGUGGCAUCAUGUUCCUUCGUGUAAUACUCCCCAUUCGUUGACACCUAUCACAUGAAGAACAGUAAGUGUAAACAUCUCGAAAUAUAGUUGGCCAAUAGAAACCACAUUGUAAAACUUUAGUCGCUGUUUUUUUAGCACUGAAAUGGCCUCCACAAGCUUGUUCAUGGCAGAAUGAAAGGAUAUUCUGAAUUUCAUUUUCUGGGACACAUCGUCUAAUAAUUUGAUAUGCACAAUACUUGAACAAAUACGGGUCAUCCCAAGAGAAUUUCUGCAAAGAAUUUAGCAUUGUCUUGUUUGGUCCAAUGCUCUGGAAGUUGAUCUGUAACAAGAUAAUUAACGAUAUCAGCAUACCAUGGUAAUACUUCCACACUCAUCAAUUGUUCAUCUGGGAGUGACUCAUUCAAUGGUAAUGAUUCCAUAAUUGUGUCAAAAUGGAGACGAGAGAGAUAGUCCGCUAUAACAUUCUUUGUGCCUUUCUUAUCUUUAAAUUUCAAGUCGAACUCCUGCAAAAGUAACACCCAACGAAUUAGUCUAGCUUUUGCAUCUUUCUUUGUGAGAAGAUAUUUAAGAGCAGCAUGAUCUGUGAAUAUAAUUAUUUUACAACCAAUGAGAUAAGAUCGAAAUUUCUCUAAUGCAAACACUACUGCUAGCAUUUCUUUUUCAGUAAUUGAAUAGUUCAACUGUGCAUCAUUCAAUGUCAUACUAGCAUAGUAAAUAACAUGGGGAAUUCGAUCAACUCUUUGUCCUAAUACUGCUCCUACUGCAUAAUUAGAUGCAUCACACAUGAGCUCAAAUGGUAAGCUCCAGUUUGGGGGCUGAAUGAUGGGUGAUGAUGUCAACAACUGCUUCAAUUUUUCAAAAGCCACAAGACAUGAAUCAUUAAUGAUAAAAGGUACAUCCUUAGCAAGUAGAUUGCAUAAGGGUCUAGAAACUUUGCUAAAAUCUUUAAUGAAACGUCUAUAGAAACCAGCAUGCCCAAGGAAAGAUCUUACUUCUCUGACUGUUUUGGGUGGAGGAAGAUUAGAAAUGAGAUCCACCUUGGCUUUGUCAACUUCAAUACCUUUGCUCGAAAUGAUGUGACCGAGAACAAUACCUUGUUUUACCAUAAAAUGACACUUCUCCCAAUUUAAGACUAAAUUCUUCUCGAUACAUCUCUGCAGAACUAGUGUUAGAUGAUGUAAACAUUGAUCAAACGAAUCACCAAAGAUAGAAAAAUCAUCCAUAAAGACUUCAAGGAAUCGUUCAACCAUAUCAGAAAAAAUGCUCAACAUGCAUCGUUGAAAUGUGGCAGGUGCAUUACAUAAUCCAAAUGGCAUCCUCUUAUAUGCAAAAGUGCCAAAAGAGCAAGUGAAAGUAGUUUUCUCUUGAUCUUUUGGUGCUAUGGGAAUCUGAUUAUAUCCUGAGUAGCCAUCUAAAAAGCAAUAAAAUUCAUGGCCUGCUAAUCUAUCAAGCAUUUGAUCAAUAAAUGGUAAAGGAAAAUGGUCUUUACGUGUGACAGAAUUCGACUUUCUAUAAUCAAUGCAUACACGCCAUCCUGUAGUUACUCUAGUUGGUAUCAAUUCAUUAUCAGCCUUGGUAACUACUGUGACUCCUGACUUUUUAGGGACAACUUGUACAGGACUGACCCAUGAACUAUCAGAAAUUGGGUAAAUGAUACCUGCGUCUAAUAGCUUAAGGACUUCAGUUCUAACAACUUCUUUCAUAUUAGGAUUUAACCGACGUUGCAUUUCCCUAUUAGAUUUAGUAUUUUCAUCAAGGUGAAUGUAAUGCAUGCAGUCUACUGGGUUUAUACCUUUUAUGUCCGCUAUGGUCCAUCAUAAUGCUCCUUUAUGCUCUUUUAAAAUAUCCAACAACUUACCUUUUUGUUCAUCGUUGAGGGAUGAUGAGAUGAUUACCGGUAGAGUGCUUUCUUCUCCCAAAAACGCAUAUUCUAAAGUGUUGGGCAAUGGUUUGAGCUCGAGUUUCGGUGGUGAUUCUGAUGAUGGGAUGAGUUUCUUCUCUAAUGGUGCUAAUUGUUCAACUCUUGACUUCCAUUUAUUAGUGUCCAUAGAUGGUGCUGAGUCAAGUAGAGCGUUGACUUCAUUAACUGAUAUGUCAAUAUCAAAAUCAAAACCAAAGUGAGUUAAGCAUGUCUGUAAAGGAUCAUCACUAAGGUUUGAAAGAAAAGUAUUAUCAACUAUUGUUUCUAUUAAAUCCACAUCAACAAUUCCAUCAUUUGCACUGUAAGGUUGUUUGGCAAUAUUGAAAAUGUUUAGCUCCAUAGUCAUGUUGCCGAAUGAUACCUGCAUAUUUUCAGUCCUGCAUUGAAUGUGAGCAUCCGUAAUUGCCAAGAAAGGUCGGCAUAGAAUAAUGGGGAUGUGCUUCCUUGAAUCCUGUAUUGGUUGAGUGUCAAUUACAAUGAAAUCAACAGGAAAAUAAAACUUGUCUACCUGGAUAAGCACGUCAUCCACAAUACCACGAGGUAUUUUCGUGGACCGAUCUGCAAGCUGUAACACCACUGGAGUUGGGUGUAAUUCUCCAAGUCCAAGUUUCAAAAAUACUGAGUAAGGCAACAAAUUUACACUAGCUCCUAAAUCCAACAAAGCAUUCUCAAUUGUAUGGUUCCCUAUGCUACAUGAAAUAGUGGGGGAACCUGAGUCUUUACAUUUCAGAGGAAUUUUAUGUUGGAGUAUAGAACUAACAUUUUCUGUUAAAAAUGUCUUCUUUUGAACAUGAAUGUUUCUCUUUUUAGUACAAAGGUCUUUAAGAAACUUGGCAUAAGAUGGAACUUGUUUAAUAGCAUCAAGCAAAAGGAUGUUAACACUUACCUGUUUGAAGAUUUCAAGAAUCUCACCUGUGGAUUUUCCUUUUUUUCCUUUAGUUAACCUCUGAGGAAAUGGAGCUUUCGGAACAUAUUCUCGUGAGUUGGUUUCUUCUUUCUCCUCCGGUGAUGAUUCCUCAACAUUCGCAGGUACAAUUUGAUUUUUUUUUGUCACCGGCAUCUCCACUUUGUUGUCGACUUCAUUUCCUUUUCGCAAGGUCAUGACUGCUUUGACCUCUCCAUGCUGCUGUGGUAAACUGGUACUUGCUUCAUGUACUCCUUUAGGAUUAAGCACUGGUUGACUUGGAAAUUUUGCUUUCUCAACAGUCAUUGCCAAGGUCUGAACUGAAGAAGCAAGUUGUCCCACCAUUUUCUUGAGGCUUGAAACUGAUUGAGCUUGUGAGUUAAAACUUGCUCUCAACUCAUUUCGUAGUCCACAAUGGUGUGGUUCUGUUGUUCAAUCAUGGAGUGAGUAACAUUCUUGAAAUUCUGGAAUGCAUCCUCCCAUGGUCUGGGUUGAAAGUAGUUUUGGUUCUGAUUGAAUGGUCUAAAUGGGGGCUGAGAGGCUUGAGGAAUUUGAGAAAUUUGUUGCAUUGGUGGAGCUGGAGUCGUUGGUCCAUUCUGUUGGAAUCCUUGAGACCAUGAAAAAUUGGGGUGGUCUCUCCAUCCAGGAUUAUAUGUGUUGGAGUAUGGGUUGUAAUUUGAUGGCUUUCUCAUUACACCUAUGGCAUUGGCUUGAUAUGGGUAUGAGUCAUGGUCAUGUAGUUCUGUUGAUUUAGCAGUCGAUAACGAUGCUAUUUGUCGAGCAAGACCUUCAACCAUCUCCUUGACUUCUUUGAUUCCCGAAGUUGACUCGCCAAUUUGAACCUCAUUUACUCCCUUAAUUCUUCUAGUAUUCCUGAGUGAUCGACUCCGUUGUUGGGAAUUAUCCGCUUGUCGCUGGAAGAAUUCCCAAAUUUCUGAUGCAUUUUUUGACAUUAGCUCUCCUCCACUUGUUGCCAUUAGCCAUUCUUGCACAUUUGGCAAUAACGCUUCCAAAAAGUAUUGGCAUUGGUGCCAUUUCUCGUACCCAUGAUGUGGACACUUCAAGAGUAGCCCAUUGAAUCGCUCCCAUGUUUCGAAAAACUAUUCGUCUUCUCUCUGGGUAAACUCUGAAAUUUCCCUGCGAAUAGCAUUGGUUUUAUGCACUGGGAAAUAUUUAUUCAAAAACUUCGUUACCAUUUGUUCACAUGAUGCAAUGCUAUUAGCAGGCAAUGUAUUAAGCCAUGAACGAGCUCUAUCAUUUAAAGAAAAUAAGAAUAAUCUGAGUUUAACAUCAUCGUCUGAAAAAUUUUCAUAUUUAAAAGUUUGACAAAUGGGAUGAAAAUCAUUCAGAUGAUUAUAUGGGUCAUUAUUUUCUAGGCCAUAGAAUGUUGGGAGACAAUUUAGCACACUAAGUUUUAAUUCAAAACUCCUAGCAGCUACAUUUAGGUAUCUUAUGCAUGAUGUGCUCAAAUUAGCUAAAGGACUAAAAUAAUCCUUAAAUGGCCUCUCAUGUGGUUGCAAAUCCAUUUUAUUUUUAACUUGUUUGUGUGUGCGAAGUGUUUUCUCAAGUUCAAGGUCUAUAGGUUCAAGAUUGGGUAAUAAUGACCUACGACCAUGUAUGCAAAGAACACAAAAUAAAUUGGAACAAAACAAAUAAAAAUAAAGAAGAAUGAGAAAUUACGGUACUAACCUUAUUGCGCUGUUACAAUUUUUCUAUAAAAACACACUAAAACAAAUACGUGAAAUAAAUUAACUAAGAAUUAAAUUAAUAAGAAAAAAAUUACAAAGAAAAAUAACUUAAAAAUUAAAUUGCAGAAUUGUAAAGAAUAGAGAAAGAAAAGAAAUACUAACUUCAAAAUGCAGAUUCACUUUUUUUUUCUUUUAUAGUAAGAAAAAAAAAUACAAGAAAACAAAUAAAAGAAAUUAUUCACAAAAAUUAAUUCUAUGAAUUAAAAUUACUUACCUCCCCGGCAACGGCGCCAAAAACUUGUUGUGCAAAUUUUAAUAUACUCGCAAGCGCACGAAUCUAUUGUAGUAUAGAUCAAUGGUGACGAGUGUCGAUUCCACGAGGAGGUGGAUUUUAAUUGUGUGUAGAAUUAAUUUUGUAAAUGGGUGAUUGGAUUUGUGGUGGAAAUUAUUUGGAAUAUGCUAAAACUUAAAUUAAAAUGGCGAGAAUAAAUUCUAAAAUUGGAAUUGAAAUGGCGAGAAUAAAUUGAAGAGAAUUCUAUUGAAAUGACGUACUUGGGUAUCUGGAUCCGUAUCAACAUGCAUCAUGGACUAAAUAAUCCUUAUUAAUGCCAAUUAAAUCAUGAGGGGGGAAUUCACACCUCAUGAACCACGCUCUAAUCAAUAUGGUGCUAAGGGCUUAUCGUGCCAAAUAAUAAUAACCUUGUACUAGAGAGCCGGUGUAACCAAGGCGGUAUCUAGACAAGAUUAUUAUUAUUUGUCGACGAAAAGUCAAAUCAUCCACAAAAAUUAGAGGGGAAAAGAAAAUAAAUUUACCAAAUAAAGCCCAUGACACAUGUUAAGACUUCACCUUCAGCCCAAGCUUGAAAGAAAAUUAGCUACUCAUAAUUGAACUAGGGGUAAAAUGAAAAUUUAUUAAAAUACGUAGAAAAUACAAUAUGGAGAAGGAAUUACAGAAAAUGGAUCCCAAAAAUGGAUUCAGAGAUAUCAAAUUAGGGGGGGGGGGGGGGCCUCCUUUUUAUAGAUACAUAGAGUAAAUCAUGGCCAUCGGAUUAAAAACAGUUUGGACGCUCAGGAUUGCGCCACGUCAUCAGUCAACAGUACGCGGUUUGACCACGUGGAUGAACAGUAACACGGUUUGACCCGGGUUGAACAGUAACGCGGUUUGGUUGAAAAUAAUCCUGUAUGAUGCAUGUACCGUACGCGAGAUUUUUUGUCCACUGAUAUGCUGCCACGUCACCAUCAACAGUACAUAAGAAUUUUAGUCCAACAGGAUCGUGACACCUCAUCAGUCAAUGCCACAUCAUCGGUCAAUGCCACGUCAUCGUCCGUCUAUGUGAACAGUAACGUAUACAAUACCGUACACGUGAAUAGUACCGUACAUGUAAACAGCGCCAUUUUUCCUUUUAUGCUCCUCCUAAGGUUUUCGACCGUCCUAAGUUCAAAAGUGAUGUCCGUUUUGCCAUCUGAUCUCUCGUUUAUUGUGAAAUGACUAUGAUGCCCCUAAAAUACAUAAAAUAAUUAAUUAAAAUAAAACACACGGAAUUAAAUCAAAAGAAGGUUAAAUACCUAAAAGUAAGGGUGUUAGUAAAGGUUGUAGUGUAAAAUGACGAUUUUCUCCUUUAUAAAUAUACAUUUUCUAACACUCAACACACCCCCCAACCAGCUUAUUGCUAGUCCCUAGCAAAUAAAGCGAAAACAAAAUUCAAAUCCAAAAUGAUUUUUUUUUUUUUUGGAAACACUCGUGUUUAUUAAAUCAGAUUAAUGAUAGCAAUCAAAUAAAAGUAUAAACAUUAUCUCCAGUCUAAAGCAACAUCACACCCACAUCAAUCAUCCACAUGAAUCAGCCCAGUAGACUUUGUUAGAGCUACUUUCAAGAAUGACAUGUCAAAUCCCAAAGUCUCACUGGAAGUAGUGACAUUCUUACAAAGAAAUUAAACCCAAUAAAAAUAGUCACUCCAAUGAAUGGUAAUUGAGAGAAAAUAAUCAAGAAGUGAUAUCACAUGCUCUCACCAAGAUGAAAGAAAUAUGCUCUCAACUUAGAAAUAAUACGAUCUCAAGUCAAAUAAAAAAUGCUAGUCAACUCAAUUUAUUUAUUCAUUUUUUUUUUUUUUUUAUGCAUCACUACAUCUUUUUAGCCCAUAUAACUAGCUUCUACUUCAGAUUAUAGUUCCCUAAAAUCAAGAAGGACUUUUAUUAGGACGUAACGUAGGCUAGGGACAUGGCUAACAAAGAAAGGAAUAAGGAAAACAAAGUGUAUGUUUGAGAAAAAUUUCUUGUUCUAUAUUUGUAAAUCGAUUAUCAUAAAGAUAAAUUAAGGCUUUUGCACUUAAAUUCUCUCUAUGUAAUCUUUUUAGUUCGAUUAUAACUAAUCCUAAAUGGGUCUGUUUGGGUUCUUUAUCUCUAUUCUGAUUAUAGGAAUGCUUAUAUGUUAAAUCUAAUUUUAUCAUUUGAUUGUCAUGCGUGCAUGACACAUAUCUUUCACUAUAAUUUUGAUAUAGCAAAGAUUUACUAAAUAAAUUUCCCUUUUUAUAUAUAAUAUUUGGAUUGAUUGAAUAUAAUUUAUUUUGUCUAAGCCUUUCUAUUUGUUUGUCUAAAUCUGUAAGACGUUAUAUUUUAACUUCAUGACCUUUUUUCUUACUAAAUAUUCUUUUUACUUACCUUCUAAUUUACUACUACUGACUAUUUGCUUACAUUUAUCCAUUAGUAAUAUCUAUAGCUCUUAAUUUGCUUAGGUUGAAGGCUUCCUAUAUCUGUACUAAUUUUAAUAUUUUCGAAUCUUCAUAUUAAAUCUUCUAAUUCUGAAGUUGGUAUUACUUCUGAAUUCUUGGUAUUUUCCAAUUGUUUUAAUUUUAAUCUUCCUUCUUCUAUUCUUGAUAUUUUAUCUAAUUCUAUUGUAAUUUGAUCUUUUAUGAAAUCUAAUUUUUUUUCUACGUUCUUGAUGACUACUCUAUUUUCUCUUAAACUAUCUAAGGGUGCGUUUGGGAUUAAGGUGCUGUAGCUUAAAAGCUACAGCUGCUGUGAAAAAAAAGCUGUAAUUAUAAAACAAAAGUUAAUAAUAUAUAGUAAAUAUAAAUUUUAAAUAAUAAUUUUGAUAAAAUUAUUAAAGAUAUAAUAAAUUUUAUAUUAUACAAGUGAAAAAUCAUAUCAACAUAUCUUAAAAGCUACAACAGCUAGUGUUUACCAAACACUUUAGUGCUGUAGCUUUUAAGCUACAGCUGCCCAACCUCAAUCCCAAACGCACCCUAAGACUAUCUUAAAAUUUUUAUUAAUCUUAUCCAGUUUUGAUUUCAAAUUUCUACCUAAAUUAACUAUUAAAUCUACUAAACUAUUUAAUAGAGAAUUUUCUGUAUGUAGGUUGUGUCUAAAAUUACCUUUUAUAUUAUAAUCUAUACAAUAUUUAUCUAAGCUUUUCUUUUUACUAUGAUAGGUGUUAAGUUCUAAAUCUAAAUAUUCUAUUCUCUUCAUAAACUGUUGGAUCUUCUAAUUAGAAUUAACUAAUUAAACCAUACUCAGAUACCACUUCGUGCUUGUGUGGCGAGAAAUGAAAAAAAUAGCCUAAGUAAUAAAUAAAAAAGGCUCUAGGGGUGAAAAUGAUCAAAAUUUUAUGAUUGAUCAACUUUUAUAAUGUAGACUUUCUAAAACUUACCGCUUUGUGCAAAGUGUUGUACAAUUAUCCUUUUCCCUCAACUGAUGAUCUUCAGAAUUAAGUCCAUUAAAAAAUUUGGAAGAAAGAAAAAAGAAACAAAUGCAUUAAGAUGUAUGCAUGUUUGACUUAAAUAAGGUAUGGAGUUAUAAGAUGUAUGCAUACUUGAGACUUAUAUAAAGUAAUCAAUUCAUUUCAUGAAUUAAUUUUUGGACCAUUUACGGAUUAAAGGCGUCUUUAAGGAGAGUAUCUUUUGAGAAUCCAAGGAUAGUGCAAUUACAAAAUUUCAAAAUCUCAAUACGUUUUUUGAUAAUCACAUGAUAAUAAAAUUAUAAAGAAAAGGAUCCUUGUUACAUUACAACAUCUGUAUUUUAUAUAAUUUUUUUUUUUUUGUUGAUAACAAUAUUGUCGGUACAUGUCUCAAAUGUUUAGAACCACAAGCCGUACAAAUUCACAAAUUGCACAAGCAAUUUUUUUUUUUUUUUAACCAAUAACGAAAGAGUGCGGUUGAUGGUACUUACAAGAGCUAACAUGUUCACCCGACACCUACGUAUAAAGAAAUCAUGCAAAGUCGAGGAAGCCAUUUUAAAACUCCAUUGAUUUAAUUAUUUACGACAUUAACAGGUUGGCCAUGUUGUCCUGCACUUUUUGAUGUUUAUUUGACUCACCAUUAUUUCACAUUGUCAGGUCACAGAUUUGUAAUUAAUAAUUCAAUAACCUGCUGGUGUUGCUGCUGCCUCGUGCUCGUGUCGCUGCGAAUUGCAAAAUUCCAUGAUACAGUGAAAUCCACCAGUACCUCGGAGUGUUUUGCGGCGUUAACUUUAUUUAUGUCAAUAUAUGCUUAAUUUUUCUGCAGUCACACCAAUUUAACAGCUUUGCUCGAGUCUGGCUAUUGGGAUAAAUUUUGAAGCCUUGUUAGCUAAUUCCUUGCUUGAAAUGGUAUGACCAUUGGUUUUAAUUUCCAUUAAAUUCAGGUGAAACGGAGCAACGGAAGUUACCUAUCUGAUUUUCGGGGUCCUAAAGAAAGUGGGUUGAGGACUACCAUUUGUGACGCUGAAACCAGCAAGAUUUCAGCCACCUGUCAGGAGAUACCGCUCAAGCAACCUUCAAUCCCGAUUUUGGAUGAAGGCCAUACUCCAAGGAACGAGAACACUGAUGUGCUGCUGUCCCUUGCAAAAGUACGGGCACCUCGAAAGGUUGUGCUUUCAGGAAAAAUCAUGUCAAUGAGCUGUUCAAUAUUUUAAACCUUGUUCGUCCUAAAUUUCUGAAAUCGGACACAUCCCGGCCUGUUAUUAAGCUUAUAAUGAGUAGAGUGCAAAUGUUUGGCUAAGGCAAAUGCACAUGAUACUUUUUACGAAUUGGUAGGGCACUCUCUGCAAAGCGAUGAGAAUUUUCAAAGGAAAGUGCGGGAGAUGACUAGCGAAGUCCUCCAUUAUUAUAAAGGAGAUUUCUUGAAUGAGCUUCCUGGACUUGUAGAUUUCACUGUAGUGCUGAAUCUCAGUUCCAGACAAAAGAGUGAAAUCCAGAAGUUAAAGAAGUGGUCUUGGAAGAUUAAGAUUGCUGCAGCUGGAAAUGCUACUUAUCUGCAUCCGAAAUUGGCUGCUUGUCUGCAUCCGAAAUUGGCUGCUUGUCUGCAUCCCAAAAUGAAUUCCCUCUCUGAGAAAAUUGUCCCAGCAGAUGAUAAGAUGGACGAGUUGUUAGAUAGAUAGGAUAUAAAAGAUGGGGUGAAGGCUAAAUUCUUUCUGAAUACGUUCAACUGAAGUGAUGAGUGACAAGCUACAUCUAUUUGAUAGAGGAAUGUAAAGAGAAGACUAGAAGACUAGAAAUGUUUUCGCUUAUUCUUUGAAGCAUUACAUGAUCCAAAACGAGAAGCACGGAUUAAAAAACAUGACAACUCACAGAUUCUCAUAUUGGGUUGCUAAUACCCUAUGCUAAUACCCUAUCAAUCAAAGCAAGUAACAAGUUGAUUCAACUGCUAAGAACUUAAAUCCAUGUCAUGUGUGAGAGAGAAUAAGAGAUUUUGCAAUUGACGUUCCCUCACAGCAGGUUGAUUCCAGAAGAAAAAUAAGCCCUGGGCCCUAGCAGCAUGGAGAAUGAAUCAUUUCAAAGAAGAGACAUUCACAGUAAGUUUACAACAAUUUAAAUAAAAGAGCUUACAAUUUAUAUACCGUUUUUUUUUUUUUUUUUAAUUAUACAAACUCGCAGCUGCAAACAGUAAAUAUGCGAAGAGCACAGUAAGGAUAAAAUAUGCUGUAAAUUCAAAGCACAAAUGACAAUCAAGUACCAAUAAAGUGACAAGCUGCAACUAGUUCAUUAGCAAGCUUCUAAAGUGAUGGGUCAUUAAGAGAGAAGAAGACAGAGGGUGUCUUUACAGUUUGUCGUGGCCAUUCAAUGAAAGCACUAUAGUAAAUAACAAGUUGAAAAACAUGACACAUUUUUAAUUUGGCAUCAACAACCACGUACGGUCGGUGAUCACAUAUGCUAGCUUAUCCAGAUCAGGAUUUGUAAUAUGAGAGGUAUUCCCCAGACCACAACAACAAUCAGAAUCCAUAAACCAGAGAGAACAUGCUGUCACCAGGCAACAUGUCAUUUUCUAACACGAAUGAGAUGCUACAGAACAGGUUUUUAGGCGGAAAACACUUGCUGCUACUACUUAACAUUUGACUCAUCAACUUCCUCCCGUCGCUCUUGGCCAGGAAAUGACGGAAGUGAGUUCAGACAAAUUUCAUUCUUUGCAAGUAAGUCCACAACGAUUGAAACUAUUGAUGCAUCUGGCAUUACAUUUUUCUCCUUCAUCUUGUGAAGAAGUUCAAUAACUUUUGAUGGCUCAUUGAUUCGGAUAAAACCAUGGAUAAGCAUAUCAAAUGUGACAAGCUACAUCUAUUUGAUAAAGGGAUGUAAAGAGAAGAUUACAAAUGUUUUCGCUUAUUCAUUGGAGCACUGCAUGAUCCAAAACGACAUGCACAGAUUAAAAAAAACAUGACAACGCACAUAUUCUCAUGUUGGGUUGCUAAUACCCUAUAAAUCAAAGGAAGUAACAAGUCCAACUUAAAUCCAUGUCAUGUGUCAGAGGGAAUAAGAGAUUUUGGAAUCCAAGCAUGCUCACAGCAGGCUGAUUCCAGUUGAAACAUAAGCCUCAGGCCCUAGCAGCAUGGAGAAUGAAUCAUUUCACAGAAGAGACAUACACUGUAAUUUUACAACAAUUUAAGUAAAAAAGCUUAAAAUUUAUAUAAGGUUUUUUAAUUAUACAUCUAGCAGCUGCCAAAGGUAAAUACGCGAAGAGUACAGCAAGGAUGAAAUAUGCCAUAAAUUCAAAGCGCAAAUGACAAUCAAGCACCAAUAAAUUGACAAACUGCAACUAAUUCCUCGGCUUCUAAAGUGAGGGGUCAUUAAGAGAGACUAGACAGGGGGUGUUUUUACAUUUUCUUUUGACCAUUCAAUGGGAGCCCUAUAGGAAAUAACAAGUUGAAAAACACGAUACCAUAUUUAAUUUGGCUUCAACAACCAUGUACAGUUGGUGAUCACAUAUGCUGGCUUGUCCAGAUCAGGAUUUGUAAUAUGAAUGGGACUCUCCGGAUCACAGUAAUCAGAACACAUGAACAUCAUCAGCGAGAACAUGCUGUCACCAGCUGAGAUGUCAUUUUGUAACACGAAUGAGAUGCUCCAGAUCAGGUUUUCAGGCUGAAAACACAUGCUUCUGCUGCUUGACAUUUAACUCAUCAACUUCCCCCUGUCGCUCGUGGACAGGAAAUGACGGAAGUGAGUUCAGACUAAUUUCAUUCUUUACAAGUAAGUCCACAACCAUUGAAACUAUAGAUGCAUCUGGCAUUACUUUUUUCUCCUUCAUUUUGUGAAGAAGUUCAAUAACUUUUGAUGGCUUAUUAAUUCGGACGAAACCAUGGAUAAGCGUAACAAAAAUGAUGACAUUGGGCGCCACAGCAUUUUCUUCCAUGUCAAGAAAUAAAUCAUGUGCCUUAUCCAUUUGGCCGUCAUUACAAAGCCCAUGGAUCAUGAUGUUAUAUGUUACAACAUCUGCUACGAGGACUCUACGAGGCAAACUACGAAACAGUUCCAAUGCAAUUUCGAGUCUGCCGGAUUUACAUAAUCCAUCAAUGAGGCAGUUGUAGGCUUGAAUAUCAAGUUCACAUUUGAGUAUUCCCAAAGUACGAAAUAGUUCAACUGCCUCUACAAUAUAACCAUUCUUGCAAAGCCCGUCAAUAAAGGUGUUAUAUGUAGAGGUAUCAGCUGCCACGCCAUCGCGCUGCAUCUCUUCAAACAGUUUCAAAGCAUGCUCAACCUGGUGUAUCUCAAAAAGGCCAAGAAACAAAGUGUUAUAUGUAACAACCGUUGGCUUUAUUCCUUUAGAAACCAUUUCGCGAUAAAGACUUAACGCUUCCUCCACUUCCUUAUUCUUGCAGUACCCAUUUAUCAAAAUAUUGUAACUAACAUCAUCAUGUUUGCAACCCAUACUCUCCAUAGAACCAAAUAGUUCCUCCGCACGAUUAAUUUUACCCGUCAAGCAAAACCCAUCCAUUAAUGUGCUAUAGGUAAAAGCAUUUGGACGCACAUCACGCUGAACCAUCAGGUCCAACAACCUACUUGCUUCAUCCAUCUUUCCAUUUUUACAAAGCUCGUCCAUGAUCACAUUGAAGGUCACAACACUAGGCUGUACCCCUUGAUCCAUCAUCUCAAAAAACAAACGCUUUGCCUCAUUCCAAUCAUUAGCAUGACAUAAACCGUGAAUCAAAGAGUUAUAGGUAACCACAUCGGGGUUAAUGUUCUCAUCCUUCAUCUGCAGAAACAGUGCCUUGGCCUUGUCCACGAAACCUUCCUUACAAAGACCAUCGAUGAUAGUGUUGUAUGUAACAGUAUUUGGCUUACAAACGACACCAAUUUCCCCAUUUCCAUUAGCCAUCUCUUCAAAUAAAUUUAAAGCAACGAUUGUAUGGCCAGUUCGACACAAUCCAUUAAUUAAAGUACUGUACGUAAUGACAUUAGGCUCACAACCAAACGCUUUGAGUUUCGUAAACAAUGCGGCGGCCUCCAUGAUUCUACUCUCCGCACACAAACCUUUAAUCAAAGAAGUAAAGGUCACAGCAUCUGGAGUAAAACAAGACCUGAGGAUCCUCCCAAAAAUUACAAAACCAAGAGACACUUGACCCAUUUUGCAAAAGCAGUUAAUCAAGAUACUGUAAGUACAAAGAUUUGGAAACAACCCAGUUGAAUUGAGUCUCUUGAAGAGUAAAAGGACAGUAUCAUAAUGUUUAGUCUUAGCAAGACAACCAAACAAAAUAUUGAAGGAAGUCACAGGAGGCGGAGAAGGGUGCAUAUGGAGCAUGUAAUCAAAGAUACACAAGGCUUCAUUAGGAGUAAUAAGAUUAAUGUCACCUUGACCUGAUGGUUUGCACCUUUUUCUGAGGAAUGUUUCGAGUGAGG
rnacentral:lncRNA from 1 species